GGGAAGGUGGCUCAGUGGUAGAGCACUUGUCUUGUAUGCAUGAGGCCCUGGGUUCGAUUCCUCGGUAUCUCA
rfam:Dipodomys ordii contig_67016, whole genome shotgun sequence.